rnacentral:misc_RNA from 1 species
GUGCAAUUUAUUCUACCUGUAUCAAUAUUUCAUAUUCCCUUUUCAACUGAAUGAGACUGAUAAUAUAUGUACAUUUGUGUGGUGUUUUUUUUUUGUAAAUCAACAAAUACACAUAAAAAGAAUGCCAAUUGUAUAUUAUAUUUAAUUUAUAAAAUAUGAUUUUGGUUUUUGUGAAUAAUUAUGUUGCACUUUUAAAUGCUGGUGCUAAUGUAAUUCAGGUUUAUUGAUACAAAUAUUUGUUCAUCUGUUCAUAUUUGUGCAUUUGUUCAUAUUUUUCCCUACAAUAAUAUCCACACAUCCUGGAGAAAAUCUCAUUCAAAGAGCUGUGUUUUUUCAUGUUGGUCAUCUGUUUUUAAAGAUUUGACUUUUUUGCUCCAAUGCAGCUUAAAUCUAUUGUUAUGUCUGUAGAUUUUUCAUCAACCAAUUUUGCUUCUAGAUGUACAUGUAUAUGCAAGUCAAAUCAAAAUCUUUGGUAAAAAAGGCCGAUAAAAAUAUAUGUGGUCAAAUUCUAUGUUUUUAUAAAAAAUAAAUAUUUCAACAGG